rnacentral:lncRNA from 1 species
UAGAAGUCAGGUCGGGUUAAGCCAUAGUACGGAAAAAACUAUGCUACCUGUGAGCCCCGUCCAAGGACGUUAAAAGAAGUCAGGCCAUCACAAAUGCCAUAGCUUGAGUAAACUAUGCUGCCUGUAGCUCCACCUGAGAAGGUGUAAAAAAUCUGGGAGGCCACAAACCAUGGAAGCUGUACGCAUGG